UACGUAGGGGGCUAGCGUUGUCCGGAAUCAUUGGGCGUAAAGCGCGCGUAGGCGGCCCGGUAAGUCCGCUGUAAAAGUCAAAGGCUCAACCUUUGAAUGUCAGUGGAUACUGCCGGGCUAGAGUCCGGAAGAGGCGAGUGGAACUCCUGGUGUAGCGGUGGAAUGCGCAGAUAUCAGGAAGAACACCGACGGCGAAGGCAGCUCGCUGGGACGGUACUGACGCUGAGGCGCGAAAGCGGUGGGGAGCGAACAGG
rnacentral:rRNA from 1 species